GGGGAUGGGGGAUGGGGGGGGGGAUGUGGAUUCUUUUAAGAAUGUGGAUAUUUGGGUCAUCUUUGGCGCCCCCUAGAACGUAAACCGUGGGGUGCAGCGUCAUGAUUUUUACAACUUUGAAUGGCCAUGGGGUGUAGAUUGGCCUGAGCAAAUUUGGUGUCAGUGGGACGAAAGCCUUAGGAGGAGUUAGCCACAUUCCAAUGUGUGCGAAUCGGCAAAAAAUGCAAAAUAGCCCUUUAACCGUAGUUUUUACAGAUACGCACCCAUUGACUUUUUCGUAGAUCUUAUUGAGAUACAUGUGAUUGUCAAAUUUUGUGUCAAUAUGACAAAGCGUACAGGCGUCACACUCAACAAUGUGAAUUUUCACCUUACGGGACAAGAAAAAAUUGACUUUUUUCUCCUGCCAUGGGGGGGCGCUCUUUUGGGGAGUAAAAAUUCCUUCACAAAUGUGUUGAUGGCUGGACAUUGCAUCAUCCUAGAAAACUUGGAGGCCAGUGAGGACAAAAAGAAAAAGUUAUAAGACUUUUAAGAAUGUGGAUUUUUGGGUUAUCUUUGGCGCCCCCUAGAACCUAAACCGUGGGGUGCAGCGUCAUGAUUUGUACAACUUUUAAUGGCCAUGGGGUGUAGAUUGGCCUGAGCAAAUUUGGUGCCGGUGGAACGAAAGCCUUCGGAGGAGUUAGCGAAAUUCCAAUGUGUGCGGAUCGGCAAAAAAUGCGAAAUAGCCCUUUAACCGUACAUUAUACAGAUACGUGCUCUCUGACUUUUUCGUAGAUCUUAUUGAGAUACACGUGUGUGUCAAAUUUUGUGUCAAUAUGACAAAGCGUUCAGGCGUGACACUCAACAAUGUGUAUUUUCACCUUACGGGACAAGAAAAAAUGGACUUUUUUCUCCUGCCAUGGGGGGGCGCUCUUUUGGGGAGUAAAAAUUUCUUCACAAAUGUGUUGAUGGCUGGACAUUGCAUCAUCCUAGAAAACUUGGAGGCCAGUGAGGACAAAAAUAAAAAGUUAUAAGACUUUUAAGACUGUGGAUUUUUGGGUUAUCUUUGGCGCCCCCUAGAAUGUAAACCGUGGGGUGCAGCGUCAUGAUUUGUACAACUUUUAAUGGCCAUGGGGUGUAGAUUGUCCUGAGCAAAUUUGUUGCUGGUGGAACGAAAGCCUUCGGAGGAGUUAGCGAAAUUCCAAUGUGUGCGGAUCGGCAAAAAAUGCGAAAUAGCCCUUUAACGGUACAUUUGACAGAUACGCCCACACUGACUUUUUUGUAGAUGUUAUUGAGAUACACAUGUGUGUCAAAUUUUGUGUCAUUUUGACAAAGCGUACAGGCGUCAGGUGAGUUUUCACCAUAGGGGGCGCUAUGGAGCCAUUUUUCAUUUUUUUGUUUGGGCGACUUCAGAAUAUCGAAUUUUUCACCAGGCCCGGUCGUCCU